rnacentral:tRNA from 1 species
GGAGCCGUGCCUGAAACCAAAGGGCCACUUUGAUAGAGUGGAUCAUGAGGGUUAAAGUCCCUCCGUCUCCU